rnacentral:rRNA from 1 species
GACGAACGCUGGCGGCGUGCUUAACACAUGCAAGUCGAACGGAGUUGCCAACGGGUGAGUAACACGUGGGUGACCUGCCCUGCACUUCGGGAUAAGCCUGGGAAAUUGGGUCUAAUACCGGAUAGUGUGGGAUGGGCUCGCGGCCUAUCAGCUUGUUGGUGGGGUAAUGGCCUACCAAGGCGGCGACGGGUAGCCGGCCUGAGAGGGGGGACGGCCACAUUGGGACUGUGACAAGGGCCAGAGUAGUACGGGGGGGAGCGGUGGAGGAUAUUGCACAUUGGAGGCGAGCCUGGUGGAGGGACGCCGAGUGAGGGAUGACGGCCUUCGGGUUGUAAUGUCCUUUCACCAUCGACGCGGUAGAUUUAGAAGAAGCACCGGGUAACUGCGUGCCAGCAGCCGCGGUAAUAC